AUUGAACGCUGGCGGCAUGCCUUACACAUGCAAGUCGAACGGCAGCGCGGGAGCAAUCCUGGCGGCGAGUGGCGAACGAGUGAGUAAUAUAUCGGAACGUGCCCAGUAGUGGGGGAUAGCCCGGCGAAAGCCGGAUUAAUACCGCAUACGACCUACGGGUGAAAGGGGGGGAUCGCAAGACCUCUCGCUAUUGGAGCGGCCGAUAUCAGAUUAGGUAGUUGGUGGGGUAAAGGCCUACCAAGCCUGCGAUCUGUAGUUGGUCUGAGAGGACGACCAGCCACACUGGGACUGAGACACGGCUCAGACUCCUACGGGAGGCAGCAGUGGGGAAUUUUGGACAAUGGGCGCAAGCCUGAUCCAGCAAUGCCGCGUGCAGGAAGAAGGCCUUCGGGUUGUAAACUGCUUUUGUCAGGGAAGAAAUCCUCUGGGUUAAUACCUCGGGGGGAUGACGGUACCUGAAGAAUAAGCACCGGCUAACUACGUGCCAGCCGCCGCCGUAACAC
rnacentral:rRNA from 1 species